rnacentral:rRNA from 1 species
AAAAACAUGGCCUUUUGAAUUUAAUUUAAGGUCUAGCCUGCCCACUGAAAUUUAAAGGGCCGCGGUAUUUUGACCGUGCUAAGGUAGCAUAAUCAUUAGUUUUUUAAUUGAAAGCUGGAAUGAAUGGUUGAAUGAGAAAAUAGCUGUCUCUUUUUAAAUUAAGUUGAAUUUUAUAUCUAAGUAAAAAAGCUUAGAUUUCUUUAAAAGACGAGAAGACCCUAUAGAGUUUUAUAAAAAAAAUCAAUGAAAUUUUUUAGAAUUAAUCUUUUUAAUAUAUUAUUUUAUUUAGUUGGGGUGAUUAAAAAAUUAGACAAACUUUUUUUAAUAAAAUUCAUUAAUUUAUGUUUGUAUGAUCCAUUUAUUAUGAUUAAAAGAAAAAAUUACCUUAGGGAUAACAGCGUAAUUUUUUUUUAGAGUUCAAAUUAAAAAAAAAGAUUGCGACCUCGAUGUUGGAUUAAAAUUAAUUUUUGGUGUAGAAGCUAGAGUAUUAAGUCUGUUCGACUUUUAAAAUUUUACGUGAUCUGA